AUUAAAUGCAGUUAUCGUUUAUUUGAUAAUACCUUACUACUUGGAUAACCGUGGUAAUUCUAGAGCUAAUACAUGCUUCAAAUCCCGACUCACGAAGGGGUGUAUUUAUUAGAUUAAAAACCAAUGCCCUUCGGGGCUCAGUGGUGAUUCAUAAUAACUUCUCGAAUCGCAUGCCCUUGCGGCGGCGAUGGUUCAUUCAAAUUUCUGCCCUAUCAACUUUCGAUGGCAAGGUCUUGGCUUGCCAUGGUUACAACGGGUAACGGAGGGUUAGGGCUCGACCCCGGAGAAGGAGCCUGAGAAACGGCUACUACAUCCAAGGAAGGCAGCAGGCGCGCAAAUUACCCAAUCCCGAUUCGGGGAGGUAGUGACAAUAAAUACUGAUACAGGGCUCUUUUGGGUCUUGUAAUCGGAAUGAGUACAAUUUAAAUCCCUUAACGAGGAACAAUUGGAGGGCAAGUCUGGUGCCAGCAGCCGCGGUAAUUCCAGCUCCAAUAGCGUAUAUUAAAGUUGUUGCAGUUAAAAAGCUCGUAGUUGAACCUUGGGCCUGGCUGGCCGGUCCGCCUCACCGCGUGCACUGGUUCGGCCGGGCCUUUCCCUCUGGGGAACCCCAUGUCCUUCACUGGGCGUGGCGGGGAACCAGGACUUUUACUGUGAAAAAAUUAGAGUGUUCAAAGCAGGCCUAUGCUCGAAUAGUACAGCAUGGAAUAAUAGAAUAGGACGCGCGGUUCUAUUUUGUUGGUUUCUAGGACCGCCGUAAUGAUUAAUAGGGACAGUCGGGGGCAUCAGUAUUCAAUUGUCAGAGGUGAAAUUCUUGGAUUUAUUGAAGACUAACUACUGCGAAAGCAUUUGCCAAGGAUGUUUUCAUUAAUCAGGAACGAAAGUUAGGGGAUCGAAGACGAUCAGAUACCGUCGUAGUCUUAACCAUAAACUAUGCCGACUAGGGAUCGGACGAUGUUAUUUUUUGACUCUGUUCGGC
rnacentral:rRNA from 1 species